rfam:Myotis brandtii contig208307, whole genome shotgun sequence.
GGCGGUUCUCGGGUGAUGGACCCCAGAAUCGGAAUCGGGCUCCCUCCUCUCUGGUUGGGGGUGCGUCACCCGAGAACUGCU